rnacentral:pre_miRNA from 1 species
AGGAGGAACAGCCCCAGUGGCGGGUCAGCUCUGGAAACCUGGAUUCAGCCCCCACAGUAACUACAGAGCUCUCCAUCUGCAGGGCCUGGAGGCUCCGGGCGGGG